GAAAGNNAGAGUUUGAUCCUGGCUCAGGACGAACGCUGGCGGCGUGCUUAACNCAUGCAAGUCGAACGAUGAAAGAGGAGCUUGCUCCUCUCGAUUAGUGGCGAACGGGUGAGUAACACGUGAGCAAUCUGCCCCCCACUCUGGGAUAAGCGCUGGAAACGGCGUCUAAUACCGGAUACGACCCUCAGAGGCAUCUCUAGAGAGUGGAAAGAAUUUCGGUGGGGGAUGAGCUCGCGGUCUAUCAGCUAGUUGGUGAGGUAAUGGCUCACCAAGGCGACGACGGGUAGCCGGCCUGAGAGGGUGACCGGCCACACUGGGACUGAGACACGGCCCAGACUCCUACGGGAGGCAGCAGUGGGGAAUAUUGCACAAUGGGCGCAGGCCUGAUGCAGCAACGCCGCGUGAGGGACGACGGCCUUCGGGUUGUAAACCUCUUUUAGCAGGGAAGAAGCGAAAGUGACGGUACCUGCAGAAAAAGCACCGGCUAACUACGUGCCAGCAGCCGCGGUAAUACGUAGGGUGCAAGCGUUGUCCGGAAUUAUUGGGCGUAAAGAGCUCGUAGGCGGUUUGUCACGUCUGCUGUGAAAACCCGAGGCUCAACCUCGGGCCUGCAGUGGGUACGGGCAGACUAGAGUGCGGUAGGGGAGAUUGGAAUUCCUGGUGUAGCGGUGGAAUGCGCAGAUAUCANGAGGAACACCGAUGGCGAANGCAGAUCUCUGGGCCGUAACUGACGCUGANGAGCGAAAGCGUGGGGAGCAAACANGCUUAGAUA
rnacentral:rRNA from 1 species